UACCACGGUAUGAUUCAUGACUGGGGUGAAGUCGUAACAAGGUAACCGUAGGGGAACCUGCGGUUGGAUCACCUCCUUACUAAAGAA
rnacentral:rRNA from 1 species